rnacentral:rRNA from 1 species
CACACGGCUACAAUGCGCAUACAAAGAGAAGCGGACCUCCGCGAGAGCAAGCGGACCUCAUAAAGCGCCGUCGUAGUCCGGAUUGGAGUCUGCAACUCGACUCCAUGAAGUCGGAAUCGCUAGUAAUCGUGGAUCAGAAUGCCACGGUGAAUACGUUCCCGGGCCUUGUACACACCGCCCGUCACACCAUGGGAGUGGGUUGCAAAAGAAGUAGGUAGCUUAACCUUCGGGAGGGCGCUUACCACUUUGUGAUUCAUGACUGGGGUGAAGUCGUAACAAGGUAACCGUAGGGGAACCUGCGGUUGGAUCACCUCCU